AGCGAACGUUAGCGGCAGGCCUAACACAUGCAAGUCGCACGAGAAUUGGGCUUCGGCCCAUGGUAAAGUGGCGGACGGGUGCGUAACACGUGGAUAAUCUGCCCUUCGGCGGGGGACAACAGCCCGAAAGGAUUGCUAAUACCGCAUACGUCGGCGAGCUCUUCGGAGCUUGUCGGGAAAGAUGGCCUCUCCAUGGAAGCUAUCACCGAAGGAUGAGUCCGCGGCCCAUCAGCUAGUUGGCGGGGUAAUGGCCCACCAAGGCGAAGACGGGUAGCUGGUCUGAGAGGAUGAUCAGCCACACUGGAACUGAGACACGGUCCAGACUCCUACGGGAGGCAGCAGUGGGGAAUAUUGGCAAUGGGCGCAAGCCUGACCCAGCUAUGCCGCGUGAGUGAUGAAGGCCUUCGGGUCGUAAAAGCUCUGUGGGGAGGGAAGAACAAGCCUGUGGCUAACAAU
rnacentral:rRNA from 1 species